UACAGAGGGGGCAAGCGUUAUUCGGAAUUAUUGGGCGUAAAGGGCGCGUAGGCGGCUUUUCAAGUGACGGGUGAAAUCCCUCGGCUUAACCGAGGAACUGCCUGUCAGACUGGAAGGCUUGAGACCGGGAGAGGUGAGUGGAAUUCCCAGUGUAGCGGUGAAAUGCGUAGAUAUCUGGAGGAACACCGGUGGCGAAGGCGGCAUCCUGGACCGGCAUUGACGCUGAGGCGCGAAAGCCAGGGGAGCAAACGGG
rnacentral:rRNA from 1 species